GACGAACGCUGGCGGCGUGCUUAACACAUGCAAGUCGAACGGAAAGGCCCUGCUUUUGUGGGGUGCUCGAGUGGCGAACGGGUGAGUAACACGUGAGUAACCUGCCCUUGACUUUGGGAUAACUUCAGGAAACUGGGGCUAAUACCGGAUAGGAGCUCCUGCUGCAUGGUGGGGGUUGGAAAGUUUCGGCGGUUGGGGAUGGACUCGCGGCUUAUCAGCUUGUUGGUGGGGUAGUGGCUUACCAAGGCUUUGACGGGUAGCCGGCCUGAGAGGGUGGCCGGCCACAUUGGGACUAAGAUACGGCCCAGACUCCUACGGGAGGCAGCAGUGGGGAAUAUUGCACAAUGGGCGGAAGCCUGAUGCAGCAACGCCGCGUGCGGGAUGACGGCCUUCGGGUUGUAAACCGCUUUCGCCUGUGACGAAGCGUGAGUGACGGUAAUGGGUAAAGAAGCACCGGCUAACUACGUG
rnacentral:rRNA from 1 species